rnacentral:lncRNA from 1 species
UAGAAUUUAUAACCUGAGUUUUGUCACUUUGUUGGCUCAAAAGAGAGAGGUCCAAGUCCAAUAUUUUUCUGUUAUAUUUUAUUUAUUUAUUUAUUUUUCACUUUUUUUUUUCGAAACGCGUGGGCUUCGCCUAGCGAGCAUGACAGUUCAUCAAAAAACUUUUGCUCCUUCAAGAUUAACAUUUUGAAUGAUGAACAGACCCCAUUUGAACAUGUUGGAAGUAACUCAAGUCAUUCCCUUGUGUCGACUGAUCACCCAAAUAGAACCCGCAAAGUGUCUUGGAUGAUAUUCAAACUUCUUAGAUCUAAUUCCGAUUGACAUGAUGAAAUGCAAUAUGAAAUGUUAAAUGACCUAAAAAU